rnacentral:lncRNA from 1 species
GAGACAUCUUAGGGUGACACAUGAACUGUUGUGAGCCCAGGUAUCUGUAACAAAAUACUCAGUCUAUUCAUUUGUAUGCAAUUUGAGGCCAUAGUUUGAAUAAUGUGACAUAAAAAUCUUUAGUGUAAGUUGAAACAAAAUACUUUAUCACGACAAAACCUAUAUUUAUUUUAACAGUUUGUUGGAUUUCUGAAACGCGGUCGACAAAAUGGCUGCUAAGAUAAAAUUAUUUUUAUGCGUAGUAUUAAAUUUCUUUUCUUUAAAAUGUGUCUGGACUUUAAAUAAUGACAAUAAUAAUGCUGAUAUUGCUGAGAGAUUGCAAAUACUUGAAGACUUACUAGCUGAAAUGGAAAACAUCGUGCUGGAAACAGAUGUUAAAGUAUCCGAAGCUUUAGACAAACUUGAUGACAGUGAAGACACGUUGAUGCGGGAUUUUUCCCGUUUGCAACACACAGCUGCAAAACAUGCGAGAAAAAGAUACAAGAAGAGUAGAAAAGACGUGAAGAAGGAACUUAGCGCUAUGACAGCACCAUUUUGAAAGAAAUGAUUCAAACCGUGGAAAAUAUCAAUACGAAUAAAAUUGUUGGAGACAGAAGUGACGAGAUAGAAGAAGAUACCAGUUCUUCAGGAAAUUAUAUCUAACCAAACUCAAGGAAAUCUGGACAGUGAAAUUGUGCAAUCAGAAGAUAUGUCUGAAUCACGUAUUAUGUUUAAGGCCACAAGGUUGACGGAAAAACAAUACCAUCCAGGUGAUACGAUUAUUUUUCCAAAAACAAUCAACAACUUCGGAGAAGGGUAUGACUCGGACUACGGAAUAUUUGUAACACCUCGGAGAGGGACAUAUUACUUCACGGUUCAACUGCAUUUACGCGGCGGUAAAGGUGUUGACGUUGGAAUAUUUGUUAGUGAUGAAUGCAUCACCUGGACAAAAAUGACCCCAUGACAUGACUCCUGCAUUAACUUAGCGGCGAUUACAAGAUUAAAUGUCGGUGAUGUGGUGUACGUGAAACAGUUGUCAGAUCCGUGGGGGAAAGUAUUCAAAUCGCUGAAGUCAGACCUCUGGAACAUAUUUUCGGGUGUUUUGAUUAGAUAGUGAUAUAUAUUAUUUGACAUGCUGGUUCGACCGGAAACGACACAAGUGAAAUAAAGGCAUAGAUGUGAAUUUUUCAUUUUUCAAAAGAUAUUUUACUAUGUGUAAUGAUAACAUUUCAUCAAGAUCAAAGAGCAUCUAUGUAUCAACAAAUUGAGCAAAACACGCAUUUUCCAUACUAAGAAUAUCUGAUGUAUUUUUAAAUUACCGGUACCAAACCAAAAAGAAAAUGGCAUUAUACAUGCUAUGAAAUACCCAAAGGUGUACUAUAAAAACUAAAAAAAAAUCUAAAUAAAGCAAUAGAUCAAAUAUGA